rnacentral:rRNA from 1 species
CCUACGGGAGGCUGCAGUGAGGAAUAUUGGUCAAUGGACGCAAGUCUGAACCAGCCAAGUCGCGUGCAGGAUGACGGCCCUCCGGGUUGUAAACUGCUUUUAGUUGGGAAUAAAAGGGGGCUCGUGAGCCCCGUAUUGUAUGUACUAUCAGAAAAAGGACUGGCUAAUUCCGUCCCAGCAGCCGCGGUAAUACGGAAGGUCCGGGCGUUAUCCGGAUUUUUUGGGUUUAAAGGGAGCGUAGGCCGGUUUUUAAGCCAGCUGUGAAAGUCCGCGGCUCAACCGUAGAAUUGCAGUUGAAACUGGAGGCCUUGAGUGCACAAGAGGAGGCCGGAAUGCAUGGUGUAGCGGUGAAAUGCUUAGAUAUAAUGAAGAACUCCGAUCGCGAAGGCAGGUGUCCGGGGUGCAACUGACGCUGAGGCUCGAAAGUGCGGGUAUCGAACAGGAUUAGAUACCCCAGUAGUC